CCUACGGGGGGCAGCAGUGGGGAAUAUUGGACAAUGGGGGCAACCCUGAUCCAGCCAUGCCGCGUGUGUGAAGAAGGCCCUCGGGUUGUAAAGCACUUUCAGUGAGGAAGAACGCCUGGUGGUUAAUACCCAUCAGGAAAGACAUCACUCACAGAAGAAGCACCGGCUAACUCCGUGCCAGCAGCCGCGGUAAUACGGAGGGUGCGAGCGUUAAUCGGAAUUACUGGGCGUAAAGCGCGCGUAGGUGGCUUGAUAAGCCGGUUGUGAAAGCCCCGGGCUCAACCUGGGAACGGCAUCCGGAACUGUCAAGCUAGAGUGCAGGAGAGGAAGGUAGAAUUCCCGGUGUAGCGGUGAAAUGUGUAGAGAUCGGGAGGAAUACCAGUGGCGAAGGCGGCCUUCUGGACUGACACUGACACUGAGGUGCGAAAGCGUGGGUAGCAAACAGGAUUAGAUACCCCAGUAGUC
rnacentral:rRNA from 1 species